GGUUAAGCGACUAAGCGUACACGGUGGAUGCCCUGGCAGUCAGAGGCGAUGAAGGACGUGCUAAUCUGCGAUAAGCGUCGGUAAGGUGAUAUGAACCGUUAUAACCGGCGAUUUCCGAAUGGGGAAACCCAGUGUGUUUCGACACACUAUCAUUAACUGAAUCCAUAGGUUAAUGAGGCGAACCGGGGGAACUGAAACAUCUAAGUACCCCGAGGAAAAGAAAUCAACCGAGAUUCCCCCAGUAGCGGCGAGCGAACGGGGAGGAGCCCAGAGCCUGAAUCAGUGUGUGUGUUAGUGGAAGCGUCUGGAAAGGCGCGCGAUACAGGGUGACAGCCCCGUACACAAAAAUGCACAUAUUGUGAGCUCGAUGAGUAGGGCGGGACACGUGGUAUCCUGUCUGAAUAUGGGGGGACCAUCCUCCAAGGCUAAAUACUCCUGACUGACCGAUAGUGAACCAGUACCGUGAGGGAAAGGCGAAAAGAACCCCGGCGAGGGGAGUGAAAAAGAACCUGAAACCGUGUACGUACAAGCAGUGGGAGCACGCUUAGGCGUGUGACUGCGUACCUUUUGUAUAAUGGGUCAGCGACUUAUAUUCUGUAGCAAGGUUAACCGAAUAGGGGAGCCGAAGGGAAACCGAGUCUUAACUGGGCGUUAAGUUGCAGGGUAUAGACCCGAAACCCGGUGAUCUAGCCAUGGGCAGGUUGAAGGUUGGGUAACACUAACUGGAGGACCGAACCGACUAAUGUUGAAAAAUUAGCGGAUGACUUGUGGCUGGGGGUGAAAGGCCAAUCAAACCGGGAGAUAGCUGGUUCUCCCCGAAAGCUAUUUAGGUAGCGCCUCGUGAAUUCAUCUCCGGGGGUAGAGCACUGUUUCGGCAAGGGGGUCAUCCCGACUUACCAACCCGAUGCAAACUGCGAAUACCGGAGAAUGUUAUCACGGGAGACACACGGCGGGUGCUAACGUCCGUCGUGAAGAGGGAAACAACCCAGACCGCCAGCUAAGGUCCCAAAGUCAUGGUUAAGUGGGAAACGAUGUGGGAAGGCCCAGACAGCCAGGAUGUUGGCUUAGAAGCAGCCAUCAUUUAAAGAAAGCGUAAUAGCUCACUGGUCGAGUCGGCCUGCGCGGAAGAUGUAACGGGGCUAAACCAUGCACCGAAGCUGCGGCAGCGACACUAUGUGUUGUUGGGUAGGGGAGCGUUCUGUAAGCCUGCGAAGGUGUGCUGUGAGGCAUGCUGGAGGUAUCAGAAGUGCGAAUGCUGACAUAAGUAACGAUAAAGCGGGUGAAAAGCCCGCUCGCCGGAAGACCAAGGGUUCCUGUCCAACGUUAAUCGGGGCAGGGUGAGUCGACCCCUAAGGCGAGGCCGAAAGGCGUAGUCGAUGGGAAACAGGUUAAUAUUCCUGUACUUGGUGUUACUGCGAAGGGGGGACGGAGAAGGCUAUGUUGGCCGGGCGACGGUUGUCCCGGUUUAAGCGUGUAGGCUGGUUUUCCAGGCAAAUCCGGAAAAUCAAGGCUGAGGCGUGAUGACGAGGCACUACGGUGCUGAAGCAACAAAUGCCCUGCUUCCAGGAAAAGCCUCUAAGCAUCAGGUAACAUCAAAUCGUACCCCAAACCGACACAGGUGGUCAGGUAGAGAAUACCAAGGCGCUUGAGAGAACUCGGGUGAAGGAACUAGGCAAAAUGGUGCCGUAACUUCGGGAGAAGGCACGCUGAUAUGUAGGUGAAGUCCCUCGCGGAUGGAGCUGAAAUCAGUCGAAGAUACCAGCUGGCUGCAACUGUUUAUUAAAAACACAGCACUGUGCAAACACGAAAGUGGACGUAUACGGUGUGACGCCUGCCCGGUGCCGGAAGGUUAAUUGAUGGGGUCAGCGCAAGCGAAGCUCUUGAUCGAAGCCCCGGUAAACGGCGGCCGUAACUAUAACGGUCCUAAGGUAGCGAAAUUCCUUGUCGGGUAAGUUCCGACCUGCACGAAUGGCGUAAUGAUGGCCAGGCUGUCUCCACCCGAGACUCAGUGAAAUUGAACUCGCUGUGAAGAUGCAGUGUACCCGCGGCAAGACGGAAAGACCCCGUGAACCUUUACUAUAGCUUGACACUGAACAUUGAGCCUUGAUGUGUAGGAUAGGUGGGAGGCUUGGAAGUGUGGACGCCAGUCUGCAUGGAGCCGACCUUGAAAUACCACCCUUUAAUGUUUGAUGUUCUAACGUUGACCCGUGAUCCGGGUUGCGGACAGUGUCUGGUGGGUAGUUUGACUGGGGCGGUCUCCUCCUAAAGAGUAACGGAGGAGCACGAAGGUUGGCUAAUCCUGGUCGGACAUCAGGAGGUUAGUGCAAUGGCAUAAGCCAGCUUGACUGCGAGCGUGACGGCGCGAGCAGGUGCGAAAGCAGGUCAUAGUGAUCCGGUGGUUCUGAAUGGAAGGGCCAUCGCUCAACGGAUAAAAGGUACUCCGGGGAUAACAGGCUGAUACCGCCCAAGAGUUCAUAUCGACGGCGGUGUUUGGCACCUCGAUGUCGGCUCAUCACAUCCUGGGGCUGAAGUAGGUCCCAAGGGUAUGGCUGUUCGCCAUUUAAAGUGGUACGCGAGCUGGGUUUAGAACGUCGUGAGACAGUUCGGUCCCUAUCUGCCGUGGGCGCUGGAGAACUGAGGGGGGCUGCUCCUAGUACGAGAGGACCGGAGUGGACGCAUCACUGGUGUUCGGGUUGUCAUGCCAAUGGCACUGCCCGGUAGCUAAAUGCGGAAGAGAUAAGUGCUGAAAGCAUCUAAGCACGAAACUUGCCCCGAGAUGAGUUCUCCCUGACUCCUUGAGAGUCCUGAAGGAACGUUGAAGACGACGACGUUGAUAGGCCGGGUGUGUAAGCGCAGCGAUGCGUUGAGCUAACCGGUACUAAUGAACCGUGAGGCUUAACCUU
rnacentral:rRNA from 1 species